GACGAACGCUGGCGGCGUGCUUAACACAUGCAAGUCGAACGGAAAGGCCCUGCUUUUGUGGGGUGCUCGAGUGGCGAACGGGUGAGUAACACGUGAGUAACCUGCCCUUGACUUUGGGAUAACUUCAGGAAACUGGGGCUAAUACCGGAUAGGAGCUCCUGCUGCAUGGUGGGGGUUGGAAAGUUUCGGCGGUUGGGGAUGGACUCGCGGCUUAUCAGCUUGUUGGUGGGGUAGUGGCUUACCAAGGCUUUGACGGGUAGCCGGCCUGAGAGGGUGACCGGCCACAUUGGUACGGAGAUGCGGCCCAGACUCCUACGGGAGGCAGCAGUGGGGAAUAUUGCACAACGGGCGGAAGCCUGAUGCAGCAACGCCGCGUGCGGGAUGACGGCCUUCGGGUUGUAAACCGCUUUCGCCUGUGACGAAGCGUGAGUGACGGUAAUGGGUAAAGAAGCACCGGCUAACUACGUG
rnacentral:rRNA from 1 species